AGCUUGCAGAUACAACAUAGGGUACUUAUAAACCUUCUCCAUAUCAUAGGAUAUUUCGUUUGCUGAAGGUCUGGCCCAGAACUUCUCGCUACCCUACUCACUGCUAUCAGAAGAUGGCUGGGUCUUUUGUCGCUUUACUUCUGGUGGUGUGUGUGAUAGUCACUGGGAUCGAAGAAUGUCAAGCUGCCUGCUGUAAAUCCGUGGACCGAGGAGUUUGUGCGGAUUGUACCUUUUCCACUCCAUAUUGUGGAUACGGGAAGUGUAAUAUAUUCGGCUGCGCCUGUAAGGGAGGGUGUCGGAAAGAUUGUGGGCUCUAUUUCAAAAAGAUCUUCCGUCAGAGUGAUCAGAAAUAUAUUGAUGUAUGUGCCUGCAGAAAUUCUGGCAGGAGAUCAGUCCGUGAACUGCAGUGAUACAGAGAGGUGAAAUUCCCUUUUUUUUCAA